UACGUAGGGGGCAAGCGUUGUCCGGAUUCACUGGGCGUAAAGCGCGUGUAGGCGGCGCUUCAAGUCGGGUGUGAAAGCCCGGGGCUCAACCCCGGGAUGCCGCUCGAAACUGGGGCGCUUGAGGACGGAAGAGGGGAGUGGAAUUCCUGGUGUAGCGGUGAAAUGCGUAGAGAUCAGGAGGAACACCCGUGGCGAAGGCGGCUCCCUGGUCCGUUACUGACGCUGAGACGCGAAAGCGCGGGGAGCGAACGGG
rnacentral:rRNA from 1 species